AGGCGUGUGCGUUGCAUCGGGAAGAGCCCGUGCCUGUAGUGAUGGAGAAGGUGGUACCAGGCAGUUCUGCGGGGCAGCAGAUACCUCCUCUGACUUUGCUUUUUUUCCCCGCUGCAAAACAGCCUGCUGCUUCCCUGGGUGAAGGAUCUGGCAUAGAAAGGAUUUUGUGGUCAGUGGAAAAAAAUGAGGAAGAGGAGGGUGUGGCUGCCACUCACAGGACCUGGCCCUGCUGAGGGGCACUGGCUUGUGGAGAUGCGGUCCUUCAUCGUGACAAAAUGAAGACUUCUUUUAGCCGCCCAUUGUUGCUGCCGGGCGCUGGCAGCCGGGGGGCACUUUGUGGCAAGGGGAGCGGGCGGAGGAGCAGCCGCAGCCGGUUGCUAAGGAGACUGCAGAGAUGCAAGGUGAACACCAGCCACCACCACCCCACGGGCGGCUGAUGGGUGUACCGACCUGGAUGUCGUCUUCCUGUAAGGCGUGUGAAAUUUACAGUGGAAGAAUUACAGUUCUACAUUGAAAAACCUCUUUCUCGUCUGAACUGUCAUUCAAAAUGCAUGAUGAAAGUAGCUGAAGAGAAGUUUUCUAUCACGUCGUCUGCAGGACUCCUAGAAGGUUCUUCUGAAACCUGGGCACAUCUGUCUCGGGCUGCCCCUAGUAGUCUGGAAAAAUGAACUCAAGGCACACAAGGAGAAGACAUAUGAGACUAAUCUGCAGCGUGUUCAGGUUCACUAAUAACAUACAAACCAGAGUCUGCUUACCAUUGUCUAUUCCGAAUAUAAUGUCAAUGCAAACAAGGAAGACUUAGUAGUAGGACUUCAACUAUUUGAAAAAGAAUGACAUUCUGGGGAGCCAAGAUAGAUGAAAGAAGUGAAGACUGGUCAUCUGUGCAGAGCAAAUAACAAGUUCCCCAUUAUGCUGAAAGCAGAAGCAGAUCACUUCAGUUACCCUGAAAUGUGACCUACUGCCUUUGGGGUGAGGUCUACUUUAUAAUGAAACAUGACUUUAGUUUAUCAAUGUGGCUGGUGUAUGUAUCAUUUAUUGUUUUCUUUAGUUACCUGUUAACAAAAAUUAAGUUAGUUGGUUAAGUUAGGGGUUUUGCUUAAAAAGUUUGCUUGUUAAUUAAAGCGGUAUUUAUAUUACACUAUGGACUGGUAUCUCAGUUAUUUCCCCUUCUUUAGAUCUUGAAUAAAAAGUGUUGUGGUCCUUCAAACCAGGUGGCGGGGCACAACUACCCCUUCAAACUCUAGCAAGUGUGAGGUUAGAGUAGAUUAUACUGUAGAGGUAAUUUUGCUAGUCAUAGCAAUCAAAGUCUGUGUAGUACGGUAGGAUAUAUCUGGUUUGGCCAUUGAUUCAGAGCUGGAUUACUGUUCAUUGAGAAAUAGCAUAUUGUUUAAGUAGGCCAUAACAUUUCCUCAUAGUCUUGAUAAAUUCUUUGUUCAGUCUUAUGGAUUUACCCAUGCAGAACUUGGGAAGUGCAGUUAGAGAAACUCAGCUCUUCCUCAUUAGGAUAAUAGAGGAAUAUGUAAAAGCAUGUUAAAUAAUCUCUCUUAAGUCAGUAUCCACUCUCUUAAGUCAUAGUGAUGCCUUUCUUGAAGUGACAAAACUGGUUUGAUAAGAUGCAGUCAUGUCAGAGCUGGAAGUACAAAAGCGCAUUUAUUAAAAAUGAAUGCUGUAUCCUCUUUCCCCUCGUGUAUCUUGUCACUGACAUGACUUCACAAGUUGCAAAUCUAUUAAAUGUUUCAAACAUGAAACUAGAGCUCAUUAAGCAAAAUGUCGACUGGUACAUAGCAAACUGUUUCAGACUCAAGACUGUUAAUAUUUGUCCCCAGAGUUUUUUGUCUUCUAGGUUGUCACCAAGUAAUCCAGCUGUCUGGGAAUACAGCUUGUGUUUCAUCUGACCAGAGUCUGACUGUCCUUUGGGGUGAGGUAGUAGGUUGUAUAGUUUUAGGGUUAUGCCCUGCCUGUCAGAUAACUAUACAAUCUACUGUCUUUCCUGAAGUGGCUGUGAUAUCAUCGCUGGAUAAGUCUACAAAAGACAAAGCAAAUAUUUUUCAACGGUAACAUUCUCUGGCUCUGCCUACAUGUUGGAUUUGGUUCUUAUAGCAGGGUUGUGAAAAAACACAGAUCUCCUUAUUGUGUUUAGAUUCCCGUAUUUCUCACUCAGGUUCAAAAACAAUAUCCUUUUUGUCGUUUUGUCAGAGAAGGUGGGGUGCAAAUUACAGGGCACAGAGGUACAACCCACUCUGCAAUGGACUUGCUCAUGCUGUUUUCUCAGACUGCCAUGAGAGUGACUAUUUAGAAACAGCUGACCCAUUUCCCCAUUACUUGUGGCACCUGUGUUUAUAGUCAAUGGAAAAUGGCACUUUUGAUUUAGCAGCUGUUGAAAUCCAUUUUGCAUAGGCUGUUUGAGAAACUAUGAAGUGAUGAGUUGGACAAAAAACAAAGAUGAUGUCUUCCAGUUGCUCUUUGUUCUGCCCUGGAACUGUUAAAUGUUUGAGCCAUAGGUAAAGAGGUUUCUUAAAUCAGUUUAUAAAAAUGGAUUAAACUUGUCUUUUUAUUACAUAAUGCUAAUCUGGGAGAGACAGUGCUUGCCCCUGUGGUUCUUAUGUCUUUGGAGUCACCCCCCCAAUUCUGACUGACUUCCAGGAAGAACUGUGAAGGAGGGCCAACAGGACAUAAUUAUAGUCAUUCUGGGCCUUUUAAGGCCAAAAAAGUCUGUGGAUAGGAAGUUUUAAGAGGCUCUUACUUGUAGAUGGUGAAGUGUUAGUUUUCUUCAGAAGAUUUACUUGAUGCUCUAACAGGAUGAGGUAGUAGGUUGUGUGGUUUCAGGGUAGUGAUUUUGCCCCAAUCAGGAGAUAACUAUACAACCUACUGCCUUCCCUGAUAAGCAGCAUAACAACAUCAGUGAGUUAAUUCAGAGAAAAACAAGGGUUAGAAUAUACUUCUGUGACCAGCAAAGUAAGUCUACAUACUGUUGAUGUAACCCUGUCCCUAAUAGCUCUAAAUUUAGUGUCUUGCGUUAUUUUUAAUAACAUCCUACAAAAUAGUUGUCUUUUGAAAUUCUUUAUCUUGAAAAAUUGAAUUAAAGAAGUUUUGGUUAUUUCAGAGUUUGUCUGCUUUUGAUCUAUUUCGUUUCUGGUUCAUUUCAGUGGAAUUAAGUUAUCAUGGGAAAUUAUUCCAAAAAUGCUGUGAACUUGCAUUUGACAUCUAAGUUUGAGUGCCACAAAUUUUACUAGCAAUGUGCUGGGUUUUGUUCAACCUUACCUCUCCCUCAGGAAUCUUCCAGUGUUUUACAGAUAAUACUAGAUCAUGUCACACAAUAUUCAGGUCAACUUUAUAUUACAAAUAAAAAGCUGUAGCAAUGAAAAUCCAGACCUAGAUUUUUUUAAAAAACAAAACACAAACCCUGACAUUGAUUUUGUAACCCCCAGUUUCUCAUAAACAGGCCCAUUUCAUGACAUUUAAAUGCCCCCAAAAGAGAAUUCUCUGCAAUCUAAAAUGCACAAAUUGCAUCUGGAAAACCAUAGGCAGAAAAUGCUAAGUAUAUUGAAGACAUUUUGAGAAUACAGUCUUACACCAAAAAACUGGGGGGUAAGGGGAAUAUGACAACAAGGUAU